rnacentral:rRNA from 1 species
GACGAACGCUGGCGGCGUGCUUAACACAUGCAAGUCGAACGGAAAGGCCCUGCUUUUGUGGGGUGCUCGAGUGGCGAACGGGUGAGUAACACGUGAGUAACCUGCCCUUGACUUUGGGAUAACUUCAGGAAACUGGGGCUAAUACCGGAUAGGAGCUCCUGCUGCAUGGUGGGGGUUGGAAAGUUUCGGCGGUUGGGGAUGGACUCGCGGCUUAUCAGCUUGUUGGUGGGGUAGUGGCUUACCAAGGCUUUGACGGGUAGCCGGCCUGAGAGGGUGACCGGCCACAUUGGGACUGAGAUACGGCCCAGACUCCUACGGGAGGCAGCAGUGGGGAAUAUUGCACAAUGGGCGGAAGCCUGAUGCAGAAACGCCGCGUGCGGGAUGACGGCCUUCGGGUUGUAAACCGCUUUCGCCUGUGACGAAGCGUGAGUGACGGUAAUGGGUAAAGAAGCACCGGGUAACUACGUG